AUUUAUUUGAAAACAUUUAUCAAGACCGAAAAAGUACAGAAGAGAUCAGCUUGGGUCUAGCGAAAGGAUGAUGCGCACAUUCGUGAAGCGUUCUAGAUUUUU
rnacentral:snRNA from 1 species